GAGUUUGAUCAUGGCUCAGAACGAACGCUGGCGGCAGGCCUAACACAUGCAAGUCGCAGGAGAAGCCAUGCUUCGGCGUGGUGGAGACUGGCGCACGGGUGAGUAACGCGUGGGAACCUGCCCUGGGGUGGGGAAUAACCGCUGGAAACGGCGGCUAAUACCGCAUACGUCCUAAUGGGGAAAGCUUUCGGGCGCCCUGGGAUGGGCCCGCGUUGGAUUAGCUAGUUGGUGGGGUAAAGGCCUACCAAGGCGACGAUCUAUAGCUGGUCUGAGAGGAUGAUCAGCCACACUGGGACUGAGACACGGCCCAGACUCCUACGGGAGGCAGCAGUGGGGAAUAUUGGACAAUGGGCGCAAGCCUGAUCCAGCCAUGCCGCGUGAGUGAAGAAGGCCUUAGGGUUGUAAAGCUCUUUCACUGGUGAAGAUGAUGACGGUAACCAGAGAAGAAGCCCCGGCUAACUCCGUGCCAGCAGCCGCGGUAAUACGGAGGGGGCAAGCGUUGUUCGGAAUUACUGGGCGUAAAGGGCGCGUAGGCGGGCAGUCAAGUUAGGGGUGAAAGGCCUGGGCUCAACCUGGGAACUGCCUCUAAAACUGGCUAUCUAGAGUCCG
rnacentral:rRNA from 1 species